GAACAGCUACAAAGUUUAGCUGGAAAGCGUGAUUGGUUCGGUCCAGGCAGCAGAAUUCUAAUAACAACGAGAGAUAAACAGUUGUUGGUGGCGCAUGAAGUGGAUGAAGAGCAUAUUCUGAACCUUGAUGUACUAAAUAACGAUGAAGCUAUUCAACUCCUUAGUAUGAAAGCUUUUAAAACCCAUCAGCCUGUGCAAGAGUAUGUGGAGCUGUCUGAACAUGUUCUGGAGUAUGCUGGUGGUCUUCCAUUAGCUCUAAAAGUGUUGGGAUCCUUUCUAAUUGGCAGAUCUGCGGAUCUAUGGAGAAGUACCAUAUGGCGUGUUUGGUAAAAUCUUUUAGGGCAUACGAAGAAGAUGAAGAAAAAGCUGUUGACAGGUAAUUUUUGUCAAAUUAAAAAGUUAUCGUGAUUUUUAUUUUUAUAUUUUAUUUUUGUCCAAAUCAAUAAAUUUCUCGGAAAUUACUUGUGGUGUAAUGUAACCAACACAACAAUGAAUGACGUAAGACGCGACGCAUGCUCCUUUCAAAAGUUACAGCAAACCGUAUACAAGAAAUUCAACCGGAUCCCAUCAUUUAAUUAUUAAUAAAUACACAAUUUGCUAUUGUCAAGCAAAUUGUUGUCCCUUUGACAAAAUUUACCAAGUUUAGUUAUAUUGGUGCACAUUUUCAACAUAUACAUAAUAAAUGCAUUCCCCACAAAUAAUAAGUUCAUUAUAACAAUUACAUUUCAUAUUAUCAUUCAACACAAGCUCCAAGAGAAGAUCUUCAUUUCAUUCAUCACCAUUAGCACUCAUCCAGCAUAAUGCCUACAAUAAUGAUUAAAAUUAAUAUUUUUCAAAGAAUAAUACUUUUCAAAUACUAAUCUAAAGAAAAAAUUAUAAUAAUGAAAUAAUUCUUGCAUUAAGUUAAAGAAAAAUAGUUCACACAAAAUUAAAAUAAGUAUAAAAUAAUAUGUAAUCAUAUAAGUUAAUUGAUAGCAUUAACUGGUUGACUUAUACUUAGUAGGCAUUUUCAUUUCAUCAAGUUAGUUUAUAAAAUUUUGACAUGAACAUUUUAGUUUUGUGAAGCCCAUCAUUUUGAAGGGAUCUUGUCACUUAUUUUGGUUCUAAAUUUUUAAGAUCAAAUAUAAUGGCCUCCAUGACCAUGAGCAUCCAAAAAGGAAUCAUCGUAAUCUUACUGAUGUUAGUCAAAGAAUUUGCUUUAGCUUUAAUGGUGAAAAAGGCAUCCAAAGCUUCAUCAUUGGGUUUAGGGAUGACAACUUAAUCAAAAUCUGGAUAAACCCAGAUGAUCCGAGUUGGGUUUAAUGCUAAAACAAUACAGAUCUGACAGUAAUAUUUUAAACCCGUACAUAUCUUAUUUCGGUUUCACGUUUAACUGAACCCAGAAAUCGAUCUGGAUAUUUUUUAUUUUAAAAUUCAUUAAAUAAUUAGUUUUUGGUUAUUAAUUAAUUUAAUUUUAAGUAUAAAAGAAAAAACAAUUGGAAAAAUAACCCUAAAGGCCUAAACAUACUGCAGCCCCCAUUUAUCCUCUCCCCUUUUCUUCUUAAUGAUAUUUUUGGGUUGGAUCAAUUUAAAAAAUCGUCCAUUAUUGGGAUUUGAAAGUUGAUGAAGCUUAACAAACUAUUAGUUUUGGUCUAUUUAACGCAUAUUAGCAAGUACUUCACUUUACCAAUUUAAUAUGCCGCCAUUAUAAUAGUAAAAAUUUUCUUUUACCAUUAUAGAAUCUUGACUGUUCUUGACUACAGUAACCCAAAAUUGAUAUUAUAUUUUUAAAAAUAAAUAUAAAUAUAGUAUUAAUAUAAAUGAAAUAAAUAUGCUUUUGGGAUAGAAGCCAGUGGAAUGGCUGCUGUGAUGAUGAGGAACCACAGCCUCAAAGAUGAACUCAAAUAAUGGGGAAAGGCUAUUUAUUAUUCUCUGAAUUUAUCAGUAAGCAUGCAUCUCAAAUUUUUUUUUUUUUUUUUUACAUAUGGUAAUUCAUUGACAUCGUAUUUAUUCAAAAAUCUGUUAUAAACCAGUUAAGGGUAGUGACGUGGCAUUGAUGAGCUGUCUUGAUUGGUGUCCAAGUUUGUUAACCGUGGUUAGCAGCAUUUAUAAAUAAAAGCGGGGGCUGUAUAGAAACUGGAGCAGUGAAAAUUCAGCCCAAUCCUUUCGACAAGCAACAAAAACUUCGAUGGGUAGGCUGUUGGGGUGGAGCAAGAGGGAAUUUAGAAAGCAUGACAGAAAAUUGGAGAAGCUGAAGUUUCAGCUGAGGGAGUUAAAACAAAGAAGGGUGCAAUUUGUAGAUGGUGAGGAAAUUCGGAAGGUGGAGAAGCAAAUUCAAAAUAUUCUCAUGGAUGAAGAAAUCUACUGGAAGCAACGUUCAAGAGCAGAUUGGCUCAAGGAGGGGGACAAAAACACAAAAUUUUUUCACGGCAAAGCGACGGCAAGAAGAAAAAAAACAGAAUUUGGGGGAUUGAAGAUAAUUUCGGGAGAUGGAUUGAGGAGCCAAUCGAAGUAGAGCAUGAGUUUUGCAACUAUUUCACCAAGCUUUUUACAUCAACCCAGCCGAGACAAGAUCAAAUUGCAGCAGCUUUGGAAGGAAUAACUCCAAGAGUUUCAGCCAGUAUGAAUGAGAGUCUGGGGGCACCUUUUACAGCCGAGGAAGUGUUGGAAGCGCUGAGCCAAAUGUGCCCAACAAAGGCUCCAGGGCCGGAUGGUUUGCCAGCCGUGUUUUACCAAAAGCAUUGGCAUUCGGUCAAGGAGGGAGUGCUCACCACUUGUCUGCAUAUCCUUAAUUCACAAGGUACCAUAGGCCCUCUAAACCACACUUACAUUGCUUUGAUACCAAAAAAAAAAAAAUAAAUCAAAGCGGGGGCUGAUUUAUUGGCAAUCUUUAAGGUAAAAUGAUAAACACACCCCCAAUAUUAAGAUAAACAGAUAAAAAUUCUCCUAAUGUUUAAAAAAAAGAUAUUUAUAUCUCAUUCAUUAUAAUUUUAAUAUGUAAUUAUCAUUAUACCCUUCUAACAUAUAAAAAAAAAUUGUUAGAUUCCAAUUUGUUCAUACAUUAUUAAUAAAAUUAUAAAUAUACCAUCUUUGCCCCAUUCUUCUACUUAAACUUUUUAUCAAUAAUCAAUUUUUAAAAAAGACAUCUACAUACUUAAAAACAAAUUGUAAAUAAAUUAUAAAUUUAAAAAUAAAAUUGGUUAUUAAUACGAUAAUAAAUAACAUAGAAAAUUAGUUAUAAAUGUACAAGUUUAAAUGAUUGACAUGUGGAGAAUUGUUAAAUAUAAAAAUUUAAAGUUUAAAUAAAAUUGGGUAUUAAUACCAAUUUUAUUUUUAAAAUUAUAAUUUAUUUACUAUUUUUUUAGGUGUGUAGAUGUCUUUUUUAAAAAUUAGUUAUUGAUAAAAAUGUAAAUAGAGGAAUGAGACAAUGAGGAUAUAUUUAUAAUUUUAUUAAUAAUAUAUGAAUAAAUUGGAUAAUCUAAUAAUUUUUUUAUAUGUUAAAAUGAUACAAUAGUAAUUAUAUAUUAAAAUUAUAAUGAAUGGUGCACUAUCUUUUUUGAAACAUUAAGAAAAUUUUUGCCUAUUUAUCGAAACGUUCGGGGUGUGUUUAUUUUUUUCCCAAUUUUUAAUGUGACCGUUUGUAGGCGAAGAGUAAAAAGAGUGUUAUUGAACUCACUCUCUUCCUUGUCAUUUCCUCUGUGAUUUUAACAUAAAAUCCUCCAUUAAUAAUAUCUCUUCAAGCCAUUAUCGGCCAUGGAUGUAGGUGUAGGAUUUGAAUAAUAUACCUAUAAUUAAAUGUACUUCUGUGAUUUUCAGAGAAUUUUUACGGGUUUAAAUAAGUGAAACUAGGGAUUGAGGCUAUAAUGCUUGGGGGCAAAUGUUGAGGAUUUUAGGAAGAAUAAAAAAAAUAUGUAUAUGAUCGAUCUCAGCUUGAUUUAGCUUCAGAACAAACAAAAAUAGACAAAGGAAUGAUUAAAUAGAAUUUGCAGGCCAGGUUCAAGAGAGACAUUGUUGAGGAAUUAUGGUAUAAUUCUCAUGCCUAGGACGUGUUCGAUAAUAUGCCCAAGAAGGAAAGUGCAUCCCACCUGGUGUGUUGCAUCUUCUCUGUGAUUUCCCAAGCAAAAGCAAUCAAUCAAUAAGGUCAAUUUGUGAAGGUCUGGGGGCAGACAACGGAGGCCAAAAAGCAGAAUGAUUUCAACUUUGUGGAAAAGAGUGCAGUUGAGACAGUAACAAGGUUAGCAGAAGCAAAAAUUGCAGCGAGGGAUGUCGCACGAUCGCGAAACUAUGAUAUUGAUAUACCCCCUUGCUCAUGUGGUUUACAAACUUCAUAAUAUCCUUUAUAACAUGCAAUACUGUUUUACUUGUAUGUGCAUUCCUUUCAGUGUUGUUCGAGAGAAUGAUUCAGAUUCAUGCAACAAGAAUGUGGAUGAGGGCGGCUAGCAAUGAAUAGCAGAACUGAUCUAGGUAUCAAAAUCAUGAGUCUCAAGCAUUCUGAGAACCUCAUAAGGACACCAGACUUCACAGGGGUACCAAAUUUGGAGGAUCUGAUUCUCGAAGAAUGUACAAGGUUGCGUGAGAUACACUCAUCUUUGCUGCUUCAAAGAAGCUGAUUUUGUUAAAUUUGAAAGGUUGUGCAAAUCUUACAACUCUUCUAGGCAAGAUUUUUAAGAAAUCUCUUAAGACACUUGUUCUUCCUGGUUGCUUGAAAUUGAAGAAAUUUCCAGACAUUGUGGGAAGUUCUUUUGGAUGGAACUGGUAAGAUUUCAACUGUGGAACAGAAUGCAGUUAAAACAGUAACAAAGUCAGCAAAAGCAAAAUUUGCUAAGGUACUUUACAAAAUUCAUAAUUUCCUUUAGAACAAGAAAUACCGUAUUACUUCUAUGUGCAUUCCUUUCAAUGUUGUUCUACUGUAAUAUGGAAGAUGAAUGUAAAUAAGGGCAGCAAGCUAUCUACGACAGCAGCAUCAGCUUGCUCACUUGGCCGCCAUAGGCUGAUUCAAACGGCAAAAGCCAUGCCGAAAAGUCAAAUCAAAUAACAGCAAAUUCACAUCCUAGGUGGCCUUUUCUUCCUGCUCAGUCACUCAUCAGUUUUGAGAGCAGGUUCGUUCUAUAAUAAUCUAAUAUGCACAUAUCAUGAUCUGUAAUUCUUUAUGCUAUCAUGCUUUUAUGAUUUGUUUACUUCUGCCACAGUGCCAUACACACUCACAGAUUCACUAUAACAAGGUUUCUCUAUUUUGCAUGGCUACAAUACAUUUCAGUAGAAAUUAAUUUCUGAAUAUGCUCUUAUCCUUUAUUAAUCAUGUAAAAAGUUCAGACGUCAGGCUAUAUGAUUAUUUACAGCUGCCUUGCGGAUGGAUUCGUAAUCUUAAUAAGUAAUAUUAUCAAAAAAAUUUAGAUUUGCUGAUCUAUAUUCAUCAAUUGCAUACAACUGUAGCAUUUACUUGAUUUUAGAGCCUGGUUGGUCGUAGAAUGAAUAAUGCAUUGACAAAUACAGAAAUGAUCAAAAUACAAGCCUCACAAGUUGCUAUGUCAUUGUUGAAUGAUGAUUCAAAUUCGUUAUGUUUAUUAGUUUUUGUUUGGGCGGGAAAUUCAGAUGCUCAAGCGGCUGACGUGGACUACAUUAACAAGUUUUAUCUGAGUUUGACUCUCCUCGACCAAUUCUUUGUAUAAAAAAUCUGAAAAAUAACUUACAACUUGUGAGGCUUGUAACCAAAAGAUGCCUAAAACCAAUUAUUUCUAAGGGAAAUGGACGGCCUUCUUCCCAAGCUUUAAGCAACUUCAAAGAAAAAUUUCAAGCCUUCAACCUUUACUUUCCAAUCUUUAUUUAUUUUAAUGAGAAAAUACUAUAAUUAAAAAAAAAAAAUGAACAAUCUUUAUUUAUUUUAAUGAAAAAAAUACUAUAAUUUUUUUAAAAAAAAUGAAAGAUUGUAGUGGAAUUAUUCCAAAAAAUAUUUUACUCAUUUUUCCCUAAAAAAUGCAAUUACAUUUAAAGAUGCCCUUUAUAAAAUACAUAAAGAAAUCAUUGCUUUUGGUGUGUUAGUAGGGAUGGCAAUGGGGUGGGGUGGGGGUGGGGAGGCCUACCCCAUUCCCCACCCUGUUAGAAAUUUUUGCCUCCAUUCCCCACCCCAUUCCCCAAUAAAUUUAGUGGGGUGGGGAUGGAGAAUCCCCAUGUGGGGAAUGAUUUUCCCAUCACCACCCCAUUUCCCAUUUAUCUAUUUUAUAAUAUGUAUAAAUACAUUAUUUUAGUAAGUUAAAAAUUAGAGACUUAAAAUAAAAUCAUCAUCAUAUUAUAAAGUAUUUAAAUUCUUUUAAAAAAAUAUCUAAAAGUUUGAAAACCAAACCCCACCCCAUUAAGAAUUUGGGGAUUAUUUUCCUCCCACUCCCCAUCCCAUUUCCCAAAAAUUAUUCAAAAUUUUUCCCAUUUGGGGUGGGGCUCCAUGGGGCCCCAAACCCGUAGAGGAUUUUGCCAUCCAUAUGUGUUAGAUUAUUAAAGCUAGCUUUUGUCAACAUCAGAUAGGAUUGUUAAAGCUAGCUUUUGUCAACAUCAGAUAGGAUUUCGUUCAGAUUCCUUGAAGCUUCCAGGAAGUUUGAUGCGACCUUCAUCGUGUGAGUAACCGGUCACUUUUGGACCAAGACUUGCGAAAGGAGGAUCCAUUUUCUUAGAACUUUUUAAAGCAAUUGAAGAAGAAUUUCGAUUAUUUUUCUGUAAAAGAACUACUCUUUUUCUACUUGGUGUUUGGAUGAACUUGUUAGGAUUGUUAAAUGCAUAAACAGAAAGGAUCAAAUUUUUUUCAAUUUUCUAUGAUGUGAAACCAACUGUUGUAAUAAUAUGCAAUCGGAAAGCUUAAGGCAAAGACUUAAUACUAAUAUUAAAGAUAAAUCUACACAAUCCGACGCAAGUGAUUGCGACUGAAUUCCUCAGGGUUGCAUCUUCAUAGUCAAUGAGUUAAUUAUUACAAAUUAUUAGAACAUUAGCGGAUGAAGACAUGAUUACACUCGAACAAGGCCGAGUGGCGAAGACGUGUAAUACAAUUAAAGAGAGUUAUCAUUAAGAGGAAGUCAAUGAGGAGCUGGAAACUGUGUACACGCUUCUGCUUUCCCUUGAAAGAUAGAUCCACAAAGAAAAUUUUAUGAUACCGUAAUUAAUUACGGUAUUAAAAUAUAAUAAACAUAAAUUUUAUAAAUUAUAUAUAAGAUUAAUAAAUAAAAAAUAAAAUAAGUAAAUUAAUGUAAAAGCAGUAAAUUAGUGUUUUAAAAUAGAAAAUAAAACAAAUACUUGUAAAGUAGCCUAAAACUUACACAUCAACAUUAAACUUUAAUUUAAUUAAGCAAAAACAUCACUAAUUAAGCAAAGAAAAAAUAACUCAUUAAUUGAAUACAAAAAAAAAUUGUAUUGAAAAUAAUAAAAAUAAGUUUUAUUUAAUUGGUUUAACCACAAAUUCUAUAUUCAUCAUAUGAAAUCCAUAACUUUUUCUUUUUCAUUUUCUAUCAUAGUAUUUAUUUACUAUAAAGGUUAAUUAAGUAAAAUUAUUUUUCUUGAUGUGGGUCAAGCCAAAAAGAAAACAAAAAGAUAUUUUUAUAUUUUUAGAAAUAUAUGAUAUAUCAAUAAAAUUGGAUCUAAUUUCUAUUUUUAUACAUUUUCAAACUUUAUUUCUUGUACUUAAAGAUCAUUGGGGAUUAUUACCGAAGAGGUUUAGAAAGAUGUAAAAUCAUCUUUUCUUACAAACAGCCUUGAAAAACAUGAAAAAAAUAUUUUUAUUCUUAAUAAAAUUUCACACAUAUCAUCACAUGUAUUACAUAAAUCCAAAAUUAUCGUUAUUCAGUUUAGAAACAAAAUCAGUAAAUAUAUAAGGUAGUCACUAUUAUAAUGAGCUUUUUAUUUAUAUUUGUAUUUUUUUUUCAAUAAUUCUUAUAUUAGUUUACUUUUGACUUGGUAUAUCCGUAUUUCUAAGAGAAAUGGACAGCCAUAAACCUUUCUUACCAAGCUUUAAGCACCUUCAAAUAAAAUGUCAAGCCUUUAACCUUUAGUUUCCAAUCUUUACUUAUUUUAAUGAGAAAUUCUACAAUUAAAAAAAAAAUGAAAGAUUGUAGUGGAAUUAUUCCAAAAGAAUAUUUUAUUCUUUUUCCCCAAAAAAAAAACUGCAAUUACAUAGAAGAUGCCCUUAAUAAAAUACAUAAAGAAAUCCUUUCUUUCGGUGCGUAGAUUAUUGAAGCCAGCUUUUGUCAACAUCGAAUUGACCAUGUCUUUUCUGCUAAAAACCAAAAUCAUUCUUCAUUAUUACUUUCGACACACACUUUAGACUAAACUUCUUGUUUGAGAAAUUAAUUAGAACACAUGAAAAUCUUCUUAUUGAUUUCUCUUAGACAAAUUUAAUUGGAAAUUCAGGUAAAAAUUUAUCAUGUUUUAGUGCUUCCUAUAAGUUCAAUUAAGUGGCUUCCUGCAAUACACUCAAAAGCUGUAAGUUUUUUUCUUAUACAUAUUUCUCUUUUAUUUUCAGAAUUAAUCUGUAUAUCUUGAUGUUUAAUUAAUUGUUAAUAUCAACUGUUGGAUUCCAUUCCAUUUUAAUGGAGUGCAAUGGUUUCAACAUGGGUAACGGGCAGAGUGGCGAAGCCGCUUAAUCAAUCAUUUACAGUUUUACAACAGUUUGAGAAUAAAAUUUACUAAACACAUACGACUAUUUUUAAAAUUUACAGAACUUUUAAAAGUAAAUUUAUCAAACGUUUAAUUAAUUACCUUUACAAAUAAUUAUUUAUACAACACAGUUUAUGACAAUUAUCGUAAAACUACAACAUUAUUAAAUUGAUCCAACAUCUCCUAAAGACUCAGAUGAAAUUUUACUAAUAAAAAGUUUCGAAUAAAAGAUUUACCAUUCCUAUAGAUUGCCGACAAUUUAACUAUUUUUAUCAAUUAUUGAUGUCAACCGUUGGAUUCCAUUCCAUUUUAAUGAAAUCCAACGUGGCUAAUGGGCAGAGUGGCGUGGACGCGUCAUCAAUUGAAAAGCCAGAUAAUCUUCGCUCAGUUUCCUUGAAGCUUCCAGCAAGUUUGAUGGUAACUCCAUCAUGUGAGUAAACAGUGACAAUGUCUAUGAAUUAUUAAGAAAGUCACUUUUUGACGAAGACUUGCUUUUGGAAAUACAUACAUAUUUGCUGAUUGCUUUUCUUUUUUUUCCAAAAGAAUAUAUUUGCAUGAUUAAAUUCUUUGAAUCAAAUACUGCAUUGGAGUUCAUUUAAGUGGCUUUCUGCAAUACACUCAAAAGCUGUAAGUUCUAUCUCAUACAUCUCUCUCUUUUACUUUCAUAAUUAAUUUGCAUAUCUUGAUGUUUAAAAACAAAUAAAUAAUGAUAAAAUUGAAAGAAAUCUUUUAAUGUUAAUUUGGCACAAACUCUUUGCCUUCUCUAAGAGGCUUUAAUCAAGAUUUUCUCAAGUAGAGAUCGGUGUACGCACUCUCCAAUCGGCACUUGAAAAAAUUUUGGGAUUUAAUAUUAUAAUUCUAUUUAUUACAAAUGUUUCUAAUAGAUAUUGUUACAUUUAUUUAAUAUCAUAUUUAUAUUAAUUAUAAAACAUUGAAAUUAAUUUUUUUGAGUUAUUAGAGCUAAAUGGUAUCAUAGUCAAAAGAGGAUUUUAGUGUUUCUUAUUGAAAAUAUGCCAUCUAAGUGUCAUUUUACCUAAAUUUAAAUAAGAUAUUUAAAUCAAAUAAUAAAAUUAAAUAUAAAUAAAUCCAUAUAAUAUGAAUUUAAUAAAUUAAAUAUAAAUAAAUCCAUAUAAUAUGAAUUUAAUAUAAAUAAUUGCUUACUUUUGUACUUUUAUGAUAUAAAAUCAUUUUUAUUAUUUUACUUUUAUUAUGUAAAAAUAAUUUUAAUCAAUUAUUUUAUUACCUAACACAUUUAUAAUUUACUCUUUUUUUAGAGAGAUUUAUAAUUUACUUAAAUAGAAAUAGUACUACUUCAUUAAUGAAUUUUUUAUUUUAAUAAUGAAUUUAACCAAUAAAUUUAAUAAAAUAAUAUUAUAAAAAAAUUUAGAUAAACAAGAUCAUGAAUAUACCGCACUAAAUAUGGCACUGUUUUAAAGGUUAAUGUAAUAUUGCUACGCAAUAAAGCUCAAGAAAUAUAAUUAAGUAUUAUUUAUUAAUAAAUUUUUAAAUUUUAUUUGUCAAAUAAUAAAUUUUGAUAAUAAUAUUAGUAUAAAAUAUUUCAAUAAACACUAUUGUACAUACUACACUAAAACAUAGUACUGCGAUAUAAUGUAGUGCACCAAACACUCCCUACGCUAUUUUCAAAAUUUUCAGAACAAAUUAAUAUUGUGAUGGCUUCAUCGAGCAUUCAAAAUGUGUCUCAUUGGCCAUAUGAUGCCUUCUUAAGCUUUAGAGGAGCAGACACCCGUAAAAGCUUCAUAAGUCAUCUCUAUGCUGCUUUGAAUGGAAAAGGAAUUUAUGUAUUCAAGGAUGACAAAGAACUUGAGAGAGGAGCAUCCAUUUCACCUGGACUUCUUAAGGCAAUUGAAGAUUCUAGAAUUUCAAUUAUUGUUUUCUCUCAAAACUAUGCUUCCUCCACUUGGUGCUUGGAUGAACUUGUUAAGAUUGUUCAAUGCAAGAACAAAAACGAUCAUCAACAAAUGGUUUUUCCAAUUUUCUAUGAUGUUGAACCCACUGUGGUAAGGAAACAAACGGGAAGUUUUCGAGAAGCUUUUGCUAAACAUGAAGAAGCUUUUAGGGAGAAUCUAGAAAAAGUGAAAAAUUGGAGAGACUCUUUGAAAGAGGUGGCUAAUAUUUCUGGCUGGGAAUUGAACGAGUACAGGUAGCCAUUCUUAUUAUUAUGUAGAUCAUUUGAAAUAGCUUUAAUCAGCAUACUGUUGUCAAUUAAACAACUUUUAUUCAAUAUGUGUUUCUAUUACUAAAUUUAUUUAAUACCGCAUUCAGACUCACUGUAAUUUAACCAUACUGAUCUUUCUUUGUUCUUUAACUGUAGGAAUGAGUCAGAAUUUAUUUGGGAUAUUGUCAAGGCGAUAUCAAGUAAAAUUGCUGUAAAAUCAGAGACUCUUAAGAAUCUAGUGGGAAUAGAUUCACGCUUGGAAGAACUGAGGUCUCUUAUGAACAAAGGGCCUAAUGAUGAUGUUCGUAUGAUAGGGAUUUGUGGUAUGGGAGGUUUAGGUAAGACGACUCUUGCAAGAGUUGUUUAUGACUUGAUCUCUCAUGAAUUUGAAGGGAGUAGUUUUCUUGCCGAUGUUAGAGAAAAAUUUGAAAACAAAGGCAGUGUAAUCUCUUUUCAAAGGCAACUCCUUUUCGAAAUAUUGAAGCUCGAAAAAGAUAGCAUAUGGAAUGUCGGUGAUGGCAUCAACAUUUUAGGAAGCAGGCUGCAACACAAAAAGGUUCUUCUUGUUAUUGAUGAUGUGGUUGACAUAAAGCAAUUAGAGUAUUUAGCUGGAAAGCGUGAGUGGUUUGGUUCAGGCAGUAGGAUCGUUGUAACAUCGCGAGAUGAACAUCUAUUAAAGACACAUGGAAUGGAUGAAAUAUAUAAGCCUAAUGAACUAAAUUACCAUGAUGCUCUUCAACUUUUCAACAUGAAAGCUUUUAAAAUCCAAAAGCCUCUUGAAGAAUGUGUGCAGCUGUCAGAAGGUGUUCACCGGUAUGCCGGUGGUCUUCCAUUAGCUCUCGAAGUUUUGGGUUCCUUUUUGAAUGGUAGAUCCGUGGAUCAAUGGAGAAGCACCUUGGAAAGGCUACAAAUAGAUCCUCCCAAUAAGAUUAUGAGUAUACUUCAAAUAAGUUUUGACGGACUACAAGAAUUAGAGAAGAAAAUAUUUCUCGAUAUUGCAUGUUUCUUUAAACGGAAGACUAAAGAUUAUGUAUCGAAAAUUCUCGACAGCUGUGGUUUUGAUAUCGGAAUUAGUGUCCUUAUAGAAAAAUCUUUAUUAACAGUACGUGAGAAUAACAGACUGUGGAUGCAUGAUUUGAUACAAGAAAUGGGUCGCCAAAUUGUUAGGAGACAAUCCCCCGACGAGCCUGGAAAACGUAGUAGAUUGUGGAAGGAAGCAGAUGUACACCAUGUAUUGUCACAAAAUACAGUAAGUGAAUAAUAAAGGGGAUCUAAAAGUAUUUAUUUUCCAGCUCAGCUCACUUCUUUUAGCUACUUAACUCUCUAACGAACGACUUUGUUUAUAAUUUUCAGGGAAGUGAAAUAGUUGAAGGAAUAAUGGUUGAUGAUUAUUUCUUUCGUGGAAAUGAUGUGCAUUUAAGUGCUAAAGCAUUUUCACUGAUGACCAACCUAAGAUUGCUCAAAAUCAGUAAUGUUCAACUUCCUUAAGGCCUAGAAUACCUCUCGAACAGGUUGCGAUUACUUGAUUGGCAUCGGUAUCCUUUGAAAUAUUUGCCAUCAAAUCUGCAAUUGGAUAAAAUUGUUGAAUUUAAAAUGCAUUCAGGCUAACUGUAAUUUAACCAUACUGAUCUUUGUUUGUUCUUUAACUGCAGGAGUGAGUCGGAAUUUAUUUGGGAUAUUGUCAAGGCGAUAUCAAGUAAAAUUGCUGUAAAAUCAGAGACUCUUAAGAAUCUAGUGGGAAUAGAUUCACGCUUGGAAGAACUGAGGUCUCUUAUGAACAAAGGGCCUAAUGAUGAUGUUCGUACUACCCUCUUUAAAAUAUUUGUUAAUUCUCUAAUUAAUAUACUAUAAUAAAAGAUGAUCUAUCUGAUAAUUAAGUAACCACUACUCUACAAAAUUAUUCAAUUUUAUAGAAUCAAAUAUUAGGCAUAUAUUGCUGCUCAGUUUUUUUUUUAAAAAAUGUUAAAUGUUAAAUUAUUAAAACUUUAUUUAAAAAACAUUUUGAAAGCCCAGGCUUGCCCGGUCCAUCCCGUCCAAAAUGGACAAGCCUAUAGAGGCCGCACUACAAGAAGAUUAUUGGAAAAUCGCUGUAAAAAAGAUUUUCGCAGCAUUAGCUUUUAGUUUUCUGCGACCUCUUACAAUGCAAAAAGGGUUUCCUUUUGAUUUUGAUGCUGUAGUCUUUUUGCUGCGUUACUUCCUGCAAGAAGAAGAUUACCAGGUUUCCCCCUCAAUAAAGGACUUAUAUACCAUUCUAGAACUGAAAUAUGAAUUAAUUAUCAUGUUAGAAUACUAUAAUAGGUCAUAACAGAGGAAACAAAGAAAAGAUGCUAAAAUGUUGAAGAUGAACUGAUAAACUAAAAGGAGACAACAAACGUUAUUUUUACCUUUAGGAUUCCACUAUCAUUCCAAGUGGCAAUUAUUUCAUCCAUGCACGAGUAACUGACAGAAAAUCAUACGAAAUCCCAUCAGGGACAACAGAGACCAUCUCCACCAAGAGCUUUCCAUAAUUUACUUGCAACACCAGUAUCAUUUCUCAUAUCCACUUUGGUACUCACUGGAAGUCGGUCACUCAAUAACAAGCCAGAAUGAAUUAAAUAUAUAACAAACCAAAAUCAGAUCACAAAACAAAUUUCUCAUGUACAGGUCACAUUUUUUGUGCUGUAAUAUACGGAGGCACAUUGAAGUUUAAUCUUAUGUCUCCCACGAGUGAGAACCGUUGGACGUAUGCAAUCUCUUGUCACGGACAUAUUAAAACUCCAAGUUACAGCUGGAUGCAAAAUAAGAAGAUAUGGAUAGAGGUCAAUUGGGCUCAGAGUUCCAUAUGUAAUCACAAAUUACUGGAACCGGUAAAAAAAAAAAAAAACAAAAUACAGGCUUAGUAAUGAGUGAAGCAUCAUGGCAGCUAAGCUACACUCCAAACAUUAUACAAAAAAGAAAAAACAUAAAAAGAUCAAUAGAGAUUUUAACAUAAACAUUAAAGCUUGUGAAACAUAGAUGACACGAUACCGAUAUGCACAACUUAUACUGCAGAAGCCAUAAUUUUGCAUCACCAAGUGGAAGAUGAAAACUCCUUUUCCCUAGCGAAAAGAAUGAUAUUGAAUCCAAUCACAUAUGUUAUUAGGCCAAUCAACAAAAAGUUUUCACCUGUAGAAUGUCGACGCUGGGACAAAUCACCAUUUCCCUUCCUUUUAUGGAUCAUUCAGUCUCACCAGAAUCAACCGACAUUAUAUGAGCAGAAACAAUUUCAUAUCGUUGAGUUACUGGGAACAAUAUUAAUACUCAAUGCCUGAGGAAUGUAGCCUUUAAUAUUCAUGCCCAGGCUUUAAAAUGGCCUACAGGUCCUCGUCUUGCAUUACACGAUUCGACUCAUUCGUAUCGCAGUUCGAUGCCGGCUCAGUCAAGCACCCGGCUGAUGACUAGUUGCCAAUCUUUACUAACCAGACCAACGGCGGUGGGACGAAGUUUUCGAGUUGAAUCUGGUACAGGAUAAUUUUCUUCAAUGGCAAAUAAUUUAAGUGCAUUUUAGGUUAAUAUCAUCACAUAAUUUUUACUUCAUAAUUUUUUUUUAUAAGAAAUUAUAACUUUUAAUCAGUCAAUGAAGUGAAUACAUUCAUGAUUUUUAUUGGAAAUGAAACCAACCAAACAACAAUUUAAAAAUUAUCUAAAGUUAAUUUAGCUAAAGAAUUGGCAAUUGCAUUACAAGAUCUUGGAAUAUGUUGAAAUUUAACGUUGCGGAGAUCUUUAGUUUUAUCUUGAAUCUCUGAAAGGACCCAAUAAAUCUCAUUCUUCCUGCCCUUCCUGUUGUAAAUUAAAUCAGCCACCAUUUGAGAAUCAGUUUCAAUAAUUAAUGAAGCUAGAGCUGCAUUUUUGGCCACCUGUAAUCCCCAGCUUUCAGCUUCUGCUUAUGCAUAUGCUACAUCCCUAAAAAACUUUGAGGUCUUGAUAGCAGCAGCCAUGACAUUUCCAGUUGAAUCCCUGAUCAAUACUCGCAGGCCUGACAUUUGUUUUUCACUAUUUAUGGCAGCAUCAACAUUCACUUUGAACCAGUUUUGUGGUGGGGGUUGCGACACUUUGGGUUUCUUCUUCUCCUUAGGGUCUCUAAGAAUCAAUCCUGUAACUUUUAUUCUAUGAUAAGCCUCUAUCAAUGAUUCCUCCUUUACCACUGACAUCUGCGGAUCCAGCGUCUUAGCUUCAAACAAGCACUUGUUCCUUGGCUGCGUGUCUUGCCUACCGACGGGUAUGUUUUUGCAAUUUCGUUUGGAAAGCAAUUCGGUCAGGCUGUGUCAGACCAUCUUUUCCUAUACUACAUGAAGUGUGAAAAUAUUAGUAAAGUGAAAUUUGAUUCGCCGUCGGGAUUGGAGUUGAAGAGGUGUGGUUUGCAUCCAAUCUAUGUGCAUGAAGGGGAUAAGUUCAACCAAACAAUUGGUCCGGUUUGGAGAUUGAACGAAUUCGGUCACGAUUGUUCUGGAUCAACAUCCUUUACGCGUAGCCUUAAUGAUGACUUAGACAGGGCAGAAGCCAGUGGAAGUUGCUGCCAGGAUGAUGCAGGAUCAACGACGUCGUCUGAGCGAAGCUUUCUAAAGCGAAGUCUUGAAGGAUAUGUUGGGGCGGCUGAAGCUAGUGGAAGUGGCUGCUGUAAUGAUGAUGAGGAACCACAACCUAAAAGAUUUAGACAACUCGAAUGAAGGGCACAUAUUUUAUUUUUCUCUGCAGAUCGCAUUUCAUUUACUUUCAUUGUAUUUAUUUAUUGUAUCUGUUCUUGUUACCAGAAAAUGCCUGGCUUGGGUCAAACAGUUGGACAGAUGUUUUAUUACUCUGUUUUUUUCUGCUUUGUUUUAUUACUCUGUUUUUCCUGCNNNNNNNNNNNNNNNNNNNNNNNNNNNNNNNNNNNNNNNNNNNNNNNNNNNNNNNNNNNNNNNNNNNNNNNNNNNNNNNNNNNNNNNNNNNNNNNNNNNNNNNNNNNNNNNNNNNNNNNNNNNNNNNNNNNNNNNNNNNNNNNNNNNNNNNNNNNNNNNNNNNNNNNNNNNNNNNNNNNNNNNNNNNNNNNNNNNNNNNNNNNNNNNNNNNNNNNNNNNNNNNNNNNNNNNNNNNNNNNNNNNNNNNNNNNNNNNNNNNNNNNNNNNNNNNNNNNNNNNNNNNNNNNNNNNNNNNNNNNNNNNNNNNNNNNNNNNNNNNNNNNNNNNNNNNNNNNNNNNNNNNNNNNNNNNNNNNNNNNNNNNNNNNNNNNNNNNNNNNNNNNNNNNNNNNNNNNNNNNNNNNNNNNNNNNNNNNNNNNNNNNNNNNNNNNNNNNNNNNNNNNNNNNNNNNNNNNNNNNNNNNNNNNNNNNNNNNNNNNNNNNNNNNNNNNNNNNNNNNNNNNNNNNNNNNNNNNNNNNNNNNNNNNNNNNNNNNNNNNNNNNNNNNNNNNNNNNNNNNNNNNNNNNNNNNNNNNNNNNNNNNNNNNNNNNNNNNNNNNNNNNNNNNNNNNNNNNNNNNNNNNNNNNNNNNNNNNNNNNNNNNNNNNNNNNNNNNNNNNNNNNNNNNNNNNNNNNNNNNNNNNNNNNNNNNNNNNNNNNNNNNNNNNNNNNNNNNNNNNNNNNNNNNNNNNNNNNNNNNNNNNNNNNNNNNNNNNNNNNNNNNNNNNNNNNNNNNNNNNNNNNNNNNNNNNNNNNNNNNNNNNNNNNNNNNNNNNNNNNNNNNGAGAGAAAGCGACGGGAGCCACCGAGAUAGAGGGAGUGAAGGCGACGGGAGCCACCGAGAGCCAGGACAACAGAUCUGAGCUGUUGGGUAGCGCACCCAACGUUAGCGAAGUGGUGGGUGCAAAUUAACUUCCAAAGGUGCUCAUUUUGAGUGUCUUGUGCCAUAGCUUGUUGACGCAAGGCCGCCUGCAACGACGUCCUGGUGUCCGCGUGUUUCAACACCUCGAACAGGGAGUUCUCAUAUAGAUUUGUGAAGCUAGUUUCUUUGACUUGCUCUUCCUCUUUCUUAUUCCUCCUCAUCUUGUUUGACUUUUUUCAUCCUUUGGUUGUCUUCGGUGGUGACCGAAGAAUCAAGACCCAUACGCUUCAUAAAGUAAAACUAGGAUGAUUUUAUUUUGUUGGGAACUGAGAGUAAUUGUUUUGUUAAGACUGAAAAGGCUGGGUGAUUUGUUUUGUUUCAAUUUAGGGUUUCUUGAAAUGAGUGGGAAGGAUUUGGGAGAGAGGGAAGAUGAAGAGGGAAUACUGCUUUCGUUAAGUGUUGAAUUUAAGAUACCCUAAUUUUAAAAGUAAAACUACGUCGUUUGGAAUAAGAAAAAUUAAAAUUAAAAUUAAAAAUAAAAAUAUAUAUCUUAGUAUCAGUAAGUGUUUAUGAUACUAUAUUAUUCAAAACCACCGGCACUAAUAUGUAAAACACACUAAAAAUUACUUAAGUCAUCAAAUAAUGAUACUUUUUUAUUUAGUAUCAGCAACUUAGUAUCAGUGAAAGUCAUUUUUCUAUUAGUAUUAUCAAUAAAAUUUGCUUCCUCAUCAUCCAUUAUUAACGCCCCACUCAAUUGCUUGUCAAUUACUUCUUGAUCAGCAAGCAAGUUUUCAAAAUUCUCAAUGGUUGGUUGAAUUGGACAACCUUAGAUAGCUGUAACAAAGCUCUUAAGCUCAAGCCUCAAACCAUUGACAAUAAUUUUCUUUAUUCUAGAUUUAGAAAUUGCAGCAGUAGAAUCUAACCUAGAAAUUUCAUGGCAUCGGGAUUUUAACUUGUUUAAGUACUCGUCAAUCGUCAUGUUUCAUUAUAAAAUUGAUAGUAGCUCAUUUUUCAAAAGUUGUAGCCAUAUGUUAUUCUUCUUUGAAAAACUCAUUGUAGAAAUAUCUCAAGUUUUCUUAGGUAUUUUAACCUUUUUUAUGUGUUGCAGCAUUUCUUCUUCAAUUGUAGUCUUGAUGGCGAACAUGGCCUUCCAGCUAUAAUGCUUCACUUCUUUAAAGCGGCAUCCUCAGUUGGUGGUCUCAUAUUGUUACCACAAACAAUCUCCUAGAGAUCUUGACCUUGUAAGCAAGACUCCAUCAAUGUUGCCCACGUAUUGUAAUUUUUCUUGUCGAGCUUUUUAACUCUUCCAACUACUUGAAGGUCAACCAUCAUAUUUCCAAAACUUUAAGAAUGCCAAGCAAGCUUGAUGUUCACUAACGAACUUGCAAAGUUCCAAACAAAGUACUCUAAAUAAAGUACUCCACUUCAAAUUUGAACCCAACAGCCUUUUACUCAAUAGAUUUUGACAAGUCAAUUCCUUUAGAUUAAGAGAAAAGAAUUGAUAGUAUUGUGCCACAGGGAGGAAUCGAUUCCAAAGUCUUUUUUCCACGAUCCAAUCCCUAAGAACAUGCAACAUAUCCUUCAUCGAAAAAACAUAAUGAUCAUAUAUAAUGCCUAUUGGAAUAUGCCUCCUCAUUAGCUUCGUUUUCGUUUUCAAUCUAUCAUUUAAAACCAUGCGGUGGACUGUAAUAAAUAGAUAAUAUUUUUUCCAUUCAUUCCCAUGAAAAGCACAAAUGCUUUGUGGACUGUAAUCAUAAAUUCUGUAACUUCUCAAGGGUGUGUUCUGGCCAGGAUCGGAGGUGAGAGGUGUGAUAUCCACCCAGUUUAUAUGGAGGAGUUUGACAAAACUACAAUCCAAUGGAAUCGCUUUACCACUUAUAAUCUGAAUGGAUCCCCUCAAAUUUUUUUUGCAUCAAAGAUGGUUGUAGCAACAAUGUCAAGGCGAAGCCUUACUGCAUAUGUUGAGGUGAUGAGGCAUUAGAUGACUCUAGAGGGCUGCAAGCUAUGAAAGAAGAAUAUGAUGCCUUGGUUAAGAAUAAUACAUGGACAUUAGUUCCAAGACAAGCUGGUCAUCACGUUGCUGACAAUAAAUGGGUGUAAAGGAUCAAGUAUAACAAAGAUGGAAAUGUAGCUAAGUAUAAAUCCAGGCUUAUUGCUAAAGGAUUUUAGCAAGUGGCAGGGGUGAAUUACUUUAACACAUUCAGUCAAGUGGUUAAAUUAGCUAUUAUUAGAGUGGUACUGAGCCUAGGAGUGAUGAACUAAUGAGAAUUAAAGUGUUGCAAGACGCACAUUGUGUAUAUUUAUCACAAAGAAAAUACAUCAUAGAUCUGUUGUCUAUAGUUGAAAUGGUUGAAUGCAAAGGCAUUGACACCCCCAACAUAGGCGUUAAACCAACAUCAUAUAAACUAGCAUUAAGUUGGAUCAAAUUCAUAUUGUCUUCAAUAAGAUUUGAAAGUAAGUGAAGUUUAACACACCAAUAGUUUUGGUGAUCUGUCUGAAACGUAAUAGACAACACCACUUAUUGAAUUUUAUUUCCUAAAAUACUUCUUAUUUAAUUUAUAAAAUAUAAACUCAUUUAUUAAAAUUAAAUAUCUUCUCAUAAAUAUAGAUAUAAAUUAUGAAAUGAUGUGGGUGUAAAUUAUUUAUUAAAACCUUAAUUUAUUUAAGUGUUUAAUUGAAAUCCCAUUUAAAAUUAAAAAAAAAUUAUUUAUUUAUAGUUAUUCAAGUAGAUUUAAAUAGAAAAUGAGUUUUAUAAGAAAUUUUAAGGGAUGUCAAAAGGCUACUCUUGAAAUAAAUGACCCAAGCCCAUUUGGGCCCACAUAUAAGGAACAAGGUCUUAGUUUAAAGGCCGGAUCGGGGUCGAGCCUCAACUCACGCUUACAUAAAAAGGAAUGAGAAAAAAUUAAAAAUAUAAAUACAUACAUAAAAUUAGUUAAAUCAUUAAUGCGUAUAUUAAAAUUAAAAAUCUGCUUACGUUUAUAGUCAAAAAUCGCUGAAGGUUCUUUGCAUGUUUUCGCUUGUGGGGCUGUGUUCAGAAACUGUGAGGGAGAAUUUCUGGGGGAUUUCUCUUGUCCAUUACAUGUUGAAACGGCUUUUGUUGCUGAACUGUUGGCUGUUAUCUUGGCGAUUGAGCAUGCUUCUUUUGGAUGUUGGACUAUGUCGUGGAUCAAAUGUGAAUCUGCUUUAACUGUGCUUCAUCUUCGUAACAAGCAGCUUCCGCCCAUGGUUUCUUAUUCAUCGAUGGAAUAAUUGUAUUGCUCUCAUGGAUUCCAUGACGUUGCGCUUUUCUCGUGUCUUCAGGGAGGCUGAUGGGGUAGCUGAUUUUUUGCAUGAGGAUGUUUUUAGGCUGCCUAACUAUCUGUUCAGCUAGCUUUUGUAAUUUUAGUUUGGCUGGUUUUCUUGCUAUAUUUUUAUUUUAUUUUUAUAAAACCUCCUCACUUUGGUGAGGAUUCAUAAAAAAAAAAAGGAAAAAACGUUAGAACAACCUAGAUCAAGUAAAUUAUAUCGCAGGGAUUUUCGAAGAAAUUCAAGCAUUGGAAGGAUGAAAAACAAAUAUGUAGAUGAUCGAUCUCACCUUAUAUGGAAUUGUAGGCCAAGUUCAAGGAAGGAAUUUUUGAGAAAUUAUGUUCGAUAAAAUGCCCAAGAAGGAAUGCAUCCCACCUGAUGCGUUGAACAAUGAGACGAUACAUCUGUUGCUACAAUUUAUUCACAUAAGAAAUUCAAUUAAAGCAUUUGAAUGGGAAAUUUUUUUUUUCUCUUGUUGCCAGGAACCAAAACUGUUACCACUUUACUGGUAUACUCCAGGUGUUUUCCGCUGUUUCAAUUUACUUGCUGGUAUUUUAUUUUCAUUUGCUGAAGUACGAUUAUUUAACAGCCAGUUACUUAUUGCAAUAAGAGGCUGUGGAGUCAAUUGCUUGCAUCAUGAGCAUCCCGGGAACUACGAUGUCUGCUUGAGCUUCAGAGGUGAAGACAAGACAUCAUGUUUGCCAACAAUUGGUUUUUCCAAUUUUCUAUGAUGUUGAACCAACAGUGGUAAGGAAACAUAUAGGAAGUUUUCAAGAAGCGAUUGUUAAUCAUGAAGAAGUUCUUAAAGGAGAAUAUAGAAAAGGUGCAAAAAUGGAGAGGCGCUUUGCAAGAGGUGGCUAAUAUCUUUGGCUAGGAAUUGAAAGAUAGGUAAUCAUUCUUAUUCUCAAUGAUUAAUUUUCUAAGAUGUGGAUCAAUAAAUUUUUGUUUGUUCUGCAUGAAUCAUAAUAAGUGAGAAGAUGUCUGGAUUUCUCCGCUAUUAAAAAACUGCCAAUAUUUAUUCAGUAUAUUUAUUUACUAGUUUCAUGUUCAGUGUGUGCAUGUGCAUGUGUAUAUUUGUAUCAACAAUAAGAUUUUACCAAAAUAGCGUUCAUAUUCAUCUCGUUAUUGCAACAACCAACUUGCCUACAAUUUUCCAAUAAACUUUACAUGACAAGAUUUUAUACUAUGUUGUUGGGUGAAUGAUGUGGUAGAGCAGAGGGAUUCUAGAACUUAUCAAGUUUUUAGGCAUAAGAACAGGGAGAGACAGUAGAAUAAAUGUAUAAGAAUUUGUUAAAAUCAUAGGAUUUAAUUGAAAUAAUAACUUGAUCAAUGAAUAUCUACAUACAAAGAGUUAUAGACGAAAUUAGAGAAGAGUUACAUGAAGAAUAACCUAGAGAUUAAUCAAACACUAGUUAUGACUUUAUGACUUCCGUUUUGUAGAUAUAUAUUAUGUAAUUUUUUUGACAUUACGUUACGCUCACACUAGCUUUAGCUCACCAAUACAAAUCUUUUCUUGUUCUAUUUAACCCGCAGGAAUGAAUCGGACUUUAUUAUGGAGAUUGUCAAUGAGAUAUCAAGCAAAAUUCCUUUAAAAUCAGAGACUCUUAAAGAGCUAGUAGGAAUGGAUUCACACUUCGAGAAGCUAACGAUUCUAAUGGAUAAAGGGCCUAAUGAUGUUCGUAUGAUAGGGAUCUGUGAUAUGGGAGGUAUAUGUAAGGCAGCUCUUGCAAAGGUUGUUUAUAACUUGAUCUAUCAUGAAUUUGAAGUAAGCAGUUUUCUUGCCAACGUUAGAUAAAAAGGUUAGCUAGAAAGUUCAGGCAGCAGGAUCAUCAUAACAUCCAGAGAUAAGCAUCGUUGACAACACAUAGAGUGGACGAAUUGUUGGUCCUUAAGCAACUAUACUAUGAUGAAGCUCUUGGACUCCUUUGUAUGACAGCCUUCAAAACCAAUCAGCUAGGGAAAGGAUAUAAGCAACUGUCGAAAAGUGUUGUAAACCACUCAGCUAAGUUGUAAGAACAUUAGCUGAACAACAGCAGCAGAUUGUGGAACGUAACAGAUGUACAUCAUGUGUUGACAAAAAACACGGUAAGUGACAAAGUGCAAUGCAUGUAUUUUGAGUUCAUGAUUCUAAAAGUCAAGAUAUGAAGUAUAAAAUUGCUAUCAUUAUAUAAUGCAAAGUAAAACAUAUUCUGUAACGCAGCCUACAUUUUAUUCAUUUUUUUAUGAUACGCGUACAAAAUGUUUUCCUUUGCCCAAGCUAUCAAUUGCACAAUGUAGGCUUUUAAGGAGAUCCUUUGGUCAUCGUUACAUUGAUCCGAAGGAAACGACUUUGUGCCCUGAGAAAGGUCUGCUCACAUUUGCUUAAUUCAAUCUUUGAUCUUAUCUUCAUGACUAUUCCAGAUUAUUCUUAUCUCUUGCUGAAUCACUCUUAUGAGUCAUCUGACAAGCUUGACUCAUAGAGGCAUUUCAUUGAGCAUAUUGCUCAUUCUAUCAAACAUUUGUUUUGCUCGACAUUCUAUGCUUUAAAUCUAUGCAUAAAUAAUUUUAUGGACAUCUUCACAUCCUAGUCUGCACUUAUCAUCUGCUUUUAUGAUUUUUAAGGAACUGAAGUAGUCGAAUGCAUGGUAUAUGACUUUUCAGGACUUAGGGUUCAUUCUAGGACAUCUUCACAUCCUUUUCAGAACUUAAGGUUAAUUUUUAUGAAAUCUCCAAAAACAUUGAUACUUUCUGGUUGCUCAAAGUUGAAGAAAUUUCCUGAGAUUGUGGGAAAUAUGAAGUUUUUACGGCAGCUUCUUUUGGAUGGAACUGAUAUUAAGGGACUACUAUUAUCAAUUGUACUUUUAUCUGGAAUUGUUCAGUUGAAUUUGAAAGGUUGUAAAAAUAUUGAGUGUCUUCCAAAUUUCAUAAGUGCUCUAAAAUUUCCUUCCACUUUGAAUUUCUCUGGCCUUUUGAAAUUCAGAUUGUUUCCAGAGAUCAUGGGAUGUAUCGAACAUCUGUUGGCGCUUCGAUUGUUAGGAACCGCUAUAAGAGGAUUGCCAAUGUCAAUUGAAUAUCUCUCUAGCAUUUUUUGCAAAAUUUAAAAGGUUGUAAAUAUCUCUUGAGUCUUCCAAUUACUAUAUGUAGAUUAAAAUGUUUAAGAACUCUAACGCUCUCUGGUUGCUCGAAGCUGGAAAAGUUUUGGGGAAGUAUGAAAUCUCUAACUAUGCUCAUUUUAGAUGGAACUGCUAUUCGAGAAUUGCCAUUGUCAGUUGAAAUAUCUAACUGGCCUUGUUUUGUUGAAUUUUAAAGAUUGGCAAAAUCUCGAGUGUCUUCCAAGUCCCAUUAGUGGUUUGAAAUCUCUUAAAAUUCUGAAUCUCUUUGGCUGCUCCAAACUUGAAAAUGUGCCAGAGAACUUGGGGAAAGUAGAUAGCUUGGAAGAGCUUGAUAAUAGUGGAACAGCAAUUAGGCAACUUCCGACGUCUGUUUCUAUCUUGAAGAAUCUUAAAGCAGUGGACCACUAUCAUCUACAUCAUGAGAUUUGUGCAUCCCUACUAAUAUGAUGUGAAUGAGAUCAGAUCCUAUGACUAAUUUGAUGUUACCUUCUCUAUCAGGCUUAUGUUCUUUAACAAAAUGGGAUAUCAGCGACUGUAAUCUACUAGUGGAAGGAGGAGAAAUCUUCACCAACACCCCCAAUUGUAAUAGGAAAAACAACAUCUACACCCCCAGAUUUGAGGAAAUGUUCACUAACACCCCCAAUUUUUUUAAAAAAAGACACCAAAACCCCUUUUUGACCAUUAAUCCUUUAAAAAAUAAAUUUAAAAUUUUUAAUAAAUAGAAAUAUUAUAUAAAUAAUGUAAUCUACGCAAUAGACUAAGAAUAUUAAAAUAGUUUAAUAUUUUAAUACAUUUAAAUAUAUAAAUUGUUAUAUUUAUUUAAUAAUAUAUAUUUAUUUAUUUUAGAUAUUUUAAAUAAAUAUUUGCAUUAAAUAUAUUUUACAAUAAAAAAAUCUCACAUACUAAUGUUAUUAUUAUUUUACAUAAUAUUCAAAAUAAUUUAAAUUUUAAUACACUUGUUUUAAUAUUAUGAUUCUAUUUAUUAUAAAUUUAAUGUUAUAUAAUAAAAUAUAUCUAAUAGAUUGUAAAGUAUUAAAAUAUUUUCUAAGUAUUGAAAUUAUUUUACAAUGUAAAUAUUAUUACAUUUAUUGGAGGAAUUAAAUUUUAUGUUAUAUAAUAAAAUAUAUCUAAUAGAUUGCAAAAUAUUAAAAUAUUUUCUAAGUAUUGAAAUUAUUUUACAAUGUAUAUAUUAUUCAAUUUAUUGGAGGAAUUAAUUAGAAAGCAUGAAAUUCUCUCGUUGAUUUCUUUGAAACAAACAAAAUUGAACUUAUCUUUAGAAAGAGGAAUUAUCUUUUGCAAAGUAAAUUUUCAUCCUCUUUCAGUGCGUCCAACACGCUCAAAGCAUUAAGUUUUCUCGCAGUUUUGUAUUCCAACAUUGCUUCCCAUGAAUGUUUGUCUUAAAUUAUUAUGUAUUAAGUGUUUCUUUUUUUCUUUUUUUUAUAAUCACUCAAUUAGUCAAUAUUAGAGGAGAUUCUGUUAUGUUCUUUGUUGAUUUUGAUUAUUUAUGUACAGUUUUUUUGGUACUUGUUGAAAUGGAACUCAAUGUGAGUACACAUUUUUUUCCCCCAACAACAAAAUAACAAUUGCUUCUUCAACUUCUUCUCUUAUCCAUAUGCUAAAAAAAAAAGAACAUUGAACAAUCCAUUGAAGAAAGAAGGCAUUUAUAUUGUGAUCAAAAGGAGGUUUUCCAUUUGUGAUUUCCUUUCGGCCAUUAACGUGAUCCAACAUUCAAUCAUUCCGCAGCAGGACUCAUGAAGAAAGGUAGGCUCAUGAAUCCUUUUAUUUUCUUUCAAUUUAAGAGGCAUUUACUUAUAAAAAUCCUCUACUUUUCAUCAAAACAAAUAUAUUUGCCUGAUUAGCUUAAGUUCUCUUAAAGCAAAGUACUUCAUUGGAGUUCAUUUACUUACAAAAAUCCUCUCUAUUUAAGAUUUGCUCAGGCACACUCUCCCGUCAGGAUCUGAAAAGUCAAAUUUUCUGAUAUAUUUUGGGAUUUGCGGUAUGAUAUUUUCUUUUCUUUAAAGAAAAGAUAACAUAAAAUUGUGUAAGAUCAAUUAAAGUGGAAAUUUGACUUACACGUAACUAUAACUUAAGUGAUCACAUAAUAGUUGACUUCUUUUUACAAUUUCGACAUGCUAAUUUCUUUUUUGUGUAAUUUUUAUUUUAUUUUAUUUUAUUUUAUUUUUACUAUUAUAUUCUUGACUAUAGUAAGCCGAAAAUUGAUAUUAUAUUUUAAAAAUAAAAAUAAAAAUAUUACUAAUAUAAAUAAACUAAAUAUUUUAUAUUUUAAAAAUAAAUAUAAAUAUAAAUAUAUUACUAAUAUAAAUAAUAUAAAUUUAUUAUUCUUGACUAUUUUAUUUUUACUAUUAUCUGACUUUAUCACCGAGCGCGCAUCUCAAAUUCAAAUGUUAUUUUGCACAUGAUAAUUCAUUUAGAUUCUGUAACAUACGCACCCAAUGCAUGCACCACACCUGUCCUGCAUAUGGAGAAGAAGCAUGCAAUUGUUUUUGUUUGGUAGCUAGCUAACCAAUCAGGAGCUGGCUAAGUUGGAUAUGUAUGUUACAGAAUCUGUAACUUAGCCAGCUCCUUCAUUUACAUUCUAUUUAUUCAAAAAUCUGUUAUAAAUCAGUUAAGGGUUAGUGACGUGUCCACAGGGGUGGCUUUAGGUAUAGGCGAACAAGGCGGUCGCUUAAGGCCCCAUAUUUUGUGAAGGUCUCAUUUUUUGAAUUUUUUUUAAUAAUUCUCAUUUUUUUAAAUUACGUAUUUUAGGAAAUCAAAAAGCUUAUUAACAUCUCUCUAAUUAUUAAUUAUCAUAUAGUUAAGAAUUAUUUUUUAUGAAAAAACUAUAGCGUCAAUCUUUAAUGUGUCCGUUUGUCGGGUAGAGCGAAGAGUUAAGAGAGUGUUUAUUGAGCUCACGCGCUUCCUUGUCAUUUCCUCUCUGAAUUUUUAUGGGUUUAAAUACUUGAACCUCGGAAUUGAGGCUACAAUGUUUAGUGCACAUAUGUUGAAUAUGAAUAUGAUCGAUCUCAGCUUGAUUUGGGCUCAGAACAAACGAUAAAUAGGUUUUCUAGUGGCUAACCUUUUUGAAAAUUUCUAAAUAGAAAUAUACAUGACAGAAUUUGAUUAUUUGUUGUUUCGUGAAUGAUGUGGUAGAACGAAGGACUUGUAGAAUUUCUCGAGUUUUAGACAUAAAACAGAGUCAGGCAAUAGAAUGAAUGAAAAAAAUACCAUCACAUUUGUUGGAAUGAUGCUGUGCUUUAUUCAAAAUUAUUUCUUCCACUAGAGACGCAAUCAAUAAUAGUGUUAAUUCUUGAACCUGUGAAAAGCAAUUAAUUUUCUUCAUUUGUUUACUAGCAAUCUUCCAUAACCAUUGUGCUUGGCUGUGAAAUAGCCCAUUUGUGGCUGAACAUAGAAUCUGUUUUUUGUUUCUUUGUUGCUUUUUGCGAUCUUUGGCUUAAUUUACAAUUCAUGGCAUGUCUGAAAAUGGGUCGAUGAAUAUGUUGUAUAUGGACUCAGAUCUAGAUCAGAUUUAUCCAUGAAACAAUCAAGAGCAUUCAACAUUUGAUUUUUAUUUUUCCUUUCUCCACCCCCAUGUUUAAUUUUGGUCGGAGGACUUGGUUGAUAGGAAUUGACAACUAUUGAUUUUCCUUUUUUUCGUUAAACAACAGACCACAAUGUCAAUUUGAAGACUUUGUUGAUAAGAAUCGACAACUGUUGGUUCUUAUUAUUUGUUUUUGUUUAAUAGAAGAUGCCUUGGAAUUCCGCAUCGUUGACAUGUAGUUGAUAUUUAAAACAUUUUGAUGUUAGAGCUUAGAAUGUUUGCUGUCGGAAUUCUUAUUAAGAAAAUUACUAUGCUGCUUGCAACAUAAUCAAAGUUGUAAGUUUUAUGCCCUGCAGUUCUCUUUAUUUUCAAUUAUGUUUUUGAAUUUUCAGAAUAAAUAUGAAGAAAAAGAUCAUUAAUUUCCAAAGCAGAGAAGAAAAUAUUUUCAGAAUUAUACUACAAUGACUAUAGGGAGAUCCUGAAAAUGAGAUUCUUGAUGUACUUCAAAUAAGUUUUGAUGGGUCAAAAGAAACAGAGAAGAAAAUAUUUCUCGAUCUUGCAUGUUUCUAUGAAGGGAAGUACAGAGAUUAUGUGAAAAAAAUUCUCAAAUAUUGUGAUUUUGACCCAAUUAUCGAAAUUGUUGGUCCUAUUGAAAAAUCUCUAUUAACUGUAGAUGAUUUCAGCGGACUGUGGAUGCAUGAGUAGUUACAAGAAAUGGGGUAGACAAAUUGUUAGGAGGCAAUCCCACCAGGAACCUGGAAACUGCAAUAGAUUGUGGAAAAAAGCCGAUAUAUGCCAUGUAUUAUCACAAAGCACAAGUAAAUGUUCAGUUAGGUUGAAAACUUGCAAUUUUGGGAUCAUGAUCACUUAUUUAACUAGUUAAACCUUUGCAUAGUUUUAUCAAUAUUUUCUUUCUUUCAUUUUUUUUUUUGUUCCCACUUAUUUUUUGUUAUAAUGUUUAGGAAACUGAUGUAGUUGAAGCAUCAUAUUUGAUCGCUUUAACAACAAAGAGAUGCAUGUCAGUGCUAAUGCCUUUUCUAAUAGGACCAAUCAGACUUCACAAGAGUACCAAAUUUAGGGGAGCUGAUUUCUGAAAGAUUUACAAGGUUGCAGGAGAUUCACUCAUUUUUUUCUGCGUCAAAGAAGCUGAGUUUGUUGAAUUUGAAAUGUUGUACAAGUCUUACAACUCUUCCAGGCAAGACCUUUAUGAAAUCUCUUAAGACACUUGUUCUUUCUGGUUGCUUGAAGUUGAAGAAAUUUCCAGACAUUGUGGGAAGUUCUUUCGGAUGGAACUGAUAUUAAANNNNNNNNNNNNNNNNNNNNNNNNNNNNNNNNNNNNNNNNNNNNNNNNNNNNNNNNNNNNNNNNNNNNNNNNNNNNNNNNNNNNNNNNNNNNNNNNNNNNNNNNNNNNNNNNNNNNNNNNNNNNNNNNNNNNNNNNNNNNNNNNNNNNNNNNNNNNNNNNNNNNNNNNNNNNNNNNNNNNNNNNNNNNNNNNNNNNNNNNNNNNNNNNNNNNNNNNNNNNNNNNNNNNNNNNNNNNNNNNNNNNNNNNNNNNNNNNNNNNNNNNNNNNNNNNNNNNNNNNNNNNNNNNNNNNNNNNNNNNNNNNNNNNNNNNNNNNNNNNNNNNNNNNNNNNNNNNNNNNNNNNNNNNNNNNNNNNNNNNNNNNNNNNNNNNNNNNNNNNNNNNNNNNNNNNNNNNNNNNNNNNNNNNNNNNNNNNNNNNNNNNNNNNNNNNNNNNNNNNNNNNNNNNNNNNNNNNNNNNNNNNNNNNNNNNNNNNNNNNNNNNNNNNNNNNNNNNNNNNNNNNNNNNNNNNNNNNNNNNNNNNNNNNNNNNNNNGUUGAAAACUUGCAAUUUUGGGAUCAUGAUCACUUAUUUAACUAGUUAAACCUUUGCAUAGUUUUAUCAAUAUUUUCUUUCUUUCAUUUUUUUUUUUUGGUUCCCACUUAUUUUUUGUUAUAAUGUUUAGGAAACUGAUGUAGUUGAAGCAUCAUAUUUGAUCGCUUUAAUAACAAAGAGAUGCAUGUCAAUGCUAAAGCCUUUUCUAAUAUGACCAAUCAGACUUCACAAGAGUACCAAAUUUAGGGGAGCUGAUUUCUGAAAGAUUUACAAGGUUGCAGGAGAUUCACUCAUUUUUUCUGCUUCAAAGAAGCUGAUUCUGUUGAAUUUGAAAGGUUGUACAAGUCUUUCAACUCUUCCAGGCAAGAUCGCUAUGAAAUCUCUUAAGACACAUGUUCUUUCUGGUUGCUGGAAAUUGAAGGAAUUUCUAGACAUUGUGGGAAGUUCUUUCGGAUGGAACUGAUAUUAAAGAAGUGCCAUUAUCAAUUGAACUUCUAUUUGGACUUGCUCAGUUGACUCUGAAUGGCUGCAAAAAUCUUGAGUGUCUUCCAAGGACCAUAAGUGCUCUAAAAUAUCUAUCAACUUUGAAUCUCUCUAGCCCUUUGAAAUUCAGAGAGCUCCCAGGGAAAACUUCAAGCAGGGAUCAGCUCUUGGAGCUUCAUUUUGGAAGGAACUGCUAUAAGAGGAUUGCCAGCAUCUAUUGAACUUCUUUCUGGCAGUGUCUUGUUGAAUUUGAAAGAUUGUAAAAAUCUCAAGAGUCUUCCAAGUACCAUAAAUGGUUUGAGAUCUCUUAGAACGUUGUAUCUCUCUGGCUACUCCAAACUUAAAAAUGUGCCAGAGACCUUGGGGAAAGUUGAAAGCUUGGAAGUUAGAUUGUCUUGUUAGAAUCAGACCAAAAUGAAGAAUGAUUUUGACUAUGUGGAACAGAGUGCAGUGGAGACAGUAACAAAGUUAGCAAAAGCAGAAUCGCUAAGGUACUUUACAAAAUUAAUAAUUUCCUUUAUAACAUGCAGUACCGUAUUACUUCUAUGUGCAUUCCUAACAUUAUCUUCGACAGAACGAUUCAGAUUCAUGGAAGAAGAAUGUUGAUAAGGGCAUCAAGCUAUCUACAACAGCAAUAUCAGCUUGCUCACUUGCCUGCCAUAGGCUGAUUCAAACCUCAAGAGCCAUGCCGAAGAGUUGAAUCAAAUAACAGCAAAUUCACAUCUUAGGUGGCCUUUUCUUCCAGCUUAGUCACUGCAUCAUUUUUUUAUAGCAGGUUCGUUCUAUAAUAAUCUCAUAGGCACAACAUAUCAUGAACUUUGUUUUAUCAUGCUUGCAUAUUUUGUUUACUUCUGCACAGUGAUAUACACAUUCACUAUCUCUAUUUUGCAUGACUACUAUAAAUUUAAGUAGAAAUUGAUUUUGGAAUAUGCUCUUAUCCUUUAUUAAUCAUAUAAAAAGUUUAUACGUCAGGGUAUAUGACUAUUUACAGCUGUCUUGCAGAUGGAUUCGUAACCUUACUAAGUAAUAUUAUCAACAAUUUUUGGAUUUGCUGAUUUUAGAGCCUGGUCUUAGAAUCCAUAAUGCAUUGACAAAUACAGAAAUGAUCAAAUUACUAGACUCAGUAGUUGCUAUUUAUGUUAUUAUUGAAGGAUGAUUCAAAUUCUUUAUGUAUGUUAGUUUUUUUUUGGGCGGGAAAUUUAAGUUUUAUCUUAGUUGACUCUAUUGACCACUGCUUGUAUCAAAAAAAUCUGAAUACUGGUCGUACGAGUACUAGAUAAUAGACCUCAGGCCAUGAGAGGAGAGACCAAAAUCGAGUCAGAUCGAAGGCUUGAUCAAAGGCCAACACGUAGUUUGUCUCCAAGAAACUCGGGCACAAAGCCCAUUCAGCGGCAGUUACAUUGUCCAUUGACCCAUGAUUUCAAAGACGCAGCACGCACCUUUUCACUUCCAAGCCAACAGUAAUCGUGGGGAAGAUGGAGUCGAUGGUUCAGGUUGGGUAUAAAAGCUACGGAGAAUGGAGAUAAAAAGAGCUGGACAAUUUUAUUUUUUUUUAAUUUCCAUAUUUUCUCUCUCUUUGACUUUUUCUCUCUCGAUAAUUCUCUCUAUUUAUUUUUCUUCGUUUUGAGAAUUAAGAUUUCUAACUUUCAAUUGAUAUAUAAUUAAGCCAUUAGUUUGUGAUACAAGUUGUUCUAAAAGAGACCCAAUUACUGACUUGAGCGUUGGAGAAUUUUCGCCAAAAAAUUUUUGGUGCCCCUCUAAUUGGAUAUUGUGAGUAGGUGAAAGAUUUUCGCGAAAAAAAAUUUAGUGCCCCUCUAAUUGGAUAUCAUACAACUUAAUUUUUAAGAUAUAAUAGUUAAUACUCAUUAAACACUUUAGUAUUAUAGUUUAAAAACUACAAUUUCCCAAGCUCAAUUCCAAAUAAAGCCUUAAGUAGAAGAUUAAGUAAAAAUUUGACGAUCUUUAUUGCUUCCGAUAAAGCCUAAAAAUGCCAGUUAAUUUUCUUACAUUUUUUCAUUUCAAAUAAAAGUAAAAUGCCCAAUGUAUUAAAAUUUGUCAGAAUUUUAUGCUAAAAAUCAUUAGGAGAAAAAUGAUUAUUUUAGCCAUUUUGAGUCCUCCGACAGAUUUUGAGGGAGAUUGGUUAUGCCCAAUCGACUUUUUUGUUGACUGAACUUGAUUGACCUCUGUAUGCGACCUCAUGUAGGUCCGUCCGCUGAAAUACGGGUUACGUGUUCUUUAAUGGAUCAACUCGACCCGUAUUUGACCCGAUAUUGACCCGCGUUUGGUUGGACCGUAGGAUGUAUGUGACGUGUCUUGUUGGCCGUUGAUCCGCCUUGUGUGAGGGUACUGGAUGGUUGACGUUGUAUCUGGACCAUUAUUUUGAUCAUAUUGAACGCGGUCCAAGGGUUCUGAAGCUGUCACGUACUCUGCUACUUCAAACCCUUGAUUUAAUUCAAUUUGGUGGAUCCAACGGCCAUUUUCCGCAUCUCUUUAAAAUGUUAAAGCAUCAUUUUAAGCUCUACAGGCCGUCGAUUUCGAGCGAGCUUACAAGUGGUAAGGCCAAAAAAUUUAUCUUGGGGAAGAAUUUAAUGAGUGACUUCUUAUUUUUAUGUCCUUAAAAUUUAUUUUUAAACCCUAGAUUUUGGAGAAAUACUUUUCUUAAGGGCUGGAAGCAAAUGUUUUAGAUUGGAAUUUUAAUGAGUGCAAAGACAUCAAAAAUCAAAUUAGCAUUUAUUUUCUUGUCUUGUCUUUAGCUCCAUCAAGUUCGUUGAUGCAUGGUCUUUGAAUUUGAAGGUGUUAAAUCCAAAACGGAUUCUCUCACAUCCAAUAUAAUUUUACUCUUAAAUUUAUCUAGUGAGCAGAUUUUUAUGCUUGAUUCACGUAGAAAAAAAAUUGUGAGGACUGUGAGGAUUUUUUUUUUAAUUAAAAACCGCCUUAAGAUGGGGUGUGGGUUUAGGCAGGACCCCUUCAUUAGUAAAUUAAUAAAAGAAAAGAAAAUUCAUAUGGAGAGAGAUAUAUGCCAAAACCUCGAAGCAUGGGAACAAAUACAUCCAAUAACUAGAAAAAUAACAAAAGCAAUAGAAGAUAGGACUAAUUAAUGCAACCAUCUAGAGAAUCGCUUCCAAUUCCUGCGGCUAGUAACCAAUGUGAAACCUUUCUUAGAAUUGGAGGCACGCGGUCCGGCAAUACGAAAGUCAUCAAGAUCACGCCCUCUAGUACCCUUAGGCUCAAAUGCAAAAUAUUCAUUAGUCACAGGAUUCCCAUCAGAGCUAAACUUCUCAUCAAAUUGAAAAAAAGGAUAUCUGUAGAAUGGGGAUUGAAGCCCACGAUCAUGGAGCGAAUAUCCUCUUCAGUAGCUCAAAAAAAAGUAGCAUCGAUGGAAGCCCUCUAAACACCUGGAUCAUCUAAAAAAGGAGGGUUAGAGACCUCAGUGCAUCCAGUAGCAUCUCUUAAAGCAGUAGGAUUCUUCAAACCAUCAUCAGUUUGAACUCUUUUCAUAAAAUCCAGAUCAAACUCAUCUUCUGCAGUAUCCUGAUAAAUAGGUGACUAAGCAUCUAGAAGAGCACCCUCACUACCAUUCGACCUCAAUGGCUCAACCUCUUUGCCAUCCCGUUUGGAUGCACAGCAGCAUUAGACAUCAGCAUCUUGCCUUUAUCAUGAAGAACAUUAUCCUCUGCUGUAUGGCCAAGGCGGAUGUACGGUACAGCAGAAAGUUUGGAAAAACUUGAUAUAAGUGAUUAACAACAACAGUAGCAUGGUCCACCCAUCGAGGCUUACCAAUAGCAUUAGCAAUAGAAAAUAAGACAUCUUUGCAAUGAAUAAAAUGCACUUGCAAAUACGGCAAAGAAACUCAAAUAAGAAGAAUAGGAGAUUCCUCAAAGCACCAAAAUGAAGUCUAUGAGACUACGCUACAUGAGACUCAAACACAAAGGCCUAAUUCUUGGUAAGGCUGCCCACCUAAAUCCACUUGGAAAAUGUUCAAACAUACUUUUGAUAAUGUAUUUUAGUCUGUGAGGGUUGACACAAUAGAAUUUGGAUUCGAGAUGUUUACGGUUGCGAAGCUUCUGUAAGUGUUCUUGGUCCAUUGUAAACUCACAUUAUUUUCAUAGUGAAUUGUUUCGUCUACAAGUGGACAUAAUAACAUGUCGAGAUUUUUAUCCUAAAUCGUGAGGAUCAAAGGUUUUCUUGUAAAAAUAUCUCUGUGUUGUGGAUGUCCAUUUAUUUUGCAUAUUUAUUUUCAUUACCAUAAAUUGAUUUUUAAAUUUAUUCAUAGUGUUUUUAUAUUAAAUUAUCUUUAUUAACUAGGAAAUAAAAUCAUUAAUUUUAAAGAGAUUAUUAUUAUUAUUAAUUAUAUAAAGAUAAUAAAAUAAAAAAUAAAACUAAUAAUAUAAAAUAUUUACUUUAGUUAUCAAUUAUUAUAUAUGCACACAAUAAAAAAUAUUUUAUAUACAUAUAUUAUAAAUAUGAAAAUAAAUUUAAUUCAAAACUAUGUCCAAUUUAAUCAUUUACAUUCUUGUCAUUUACAGUCUUAUUACAAUUUAAUAAUAAGAUUUACCAAAUACAUAGAUUGUUUUUAAAACUCACAGAACUUUUUAAAAUUGUUAAUAAUAUCAAACGUUCAAUUAAUUACUUUUAUAGUUGAUAAUUUUUAUAAUACAAUUAACCAGUAAUUAUUUUAAAAACUAUAAUAUUAACAAAAUGAUCCAACAUCUUUUAAGGACCCAACUGAAAUUUAACUAAUAAAAAUUUACCAUUACUAUAGAUUACCGGUAGUUUUAACUAUUUUUAAUUAAUUAUUAAUAUCAACUGUUGGAUUCCAUUCCAUUUUAAUGGAAUCCAAUGGUUUCAACAUGGGUGAUGGGCAGAGUGGCAUGGACGCGUAAUCAAUUGAAAAGCCAGAUAUUCUUGGCUUAGAUUCCUUGAAGCUUCGAGCAAGCUUGAUGCUAAAUUGCUAACUCCAUCGUGUUGAGUAAACAGUGACAAAUUCUAUCACUUAUUAAGAAAGUCGCCGUUUGACCAAGACUUGCUUUUGGAAACACACACAUUGCAACGCAACUGAGGCGCUGGAAACCGUGUAAUCGCUUUAAUUUUCCAAAUUAAACAAAAAAACCUACGCCUUCCCUUGAAAGAUAGGUGCGCACGUAAAAUUCUAUCAUGUCGUAAUUAAUUGCGACAUUAAUAAGUAAUGAAUAUAAUUUUUUAUAAUUUAUACAUACAACCAGUACAUAAAAAGUAAAAUAAAUAAAUUAAUAUAAGUGUGGUUAAUUGAUAUUUUAAAAUGAAAAAUAAAAAAUACUUGUAAAAAUAAUAUAAAACUUAUAAAUCAACGUUAAACUUUAACUAGACUAGAAAAUAGUUUAUUAACUUUAACUAGACUAGAAAAUAGUUUAUUUACUUAAUUUAAUUAAGCAAAAAAAUUGCUAAUUAAGAAAAAAAUCGCUCUUUAAUUGAAAAAAAAAUUGUAUUAAAACAAUUAGAAUAAAUUUUAUUGAAUUGGUUUAACCAUGAAUUCUAUAUUUAUCCUAGGACAUUUAUUAUUUUUUUUCAUUUUCUAUCAUAAUAUUUGUUUACUACACAAGUUACUUAAGCAAAAUUAUUAUUAUUUUUUUAAUGUGGAUCAAGCCAAAACAAAAUAAAAGUUAUUUUUAUAUUACUACAAAUAUAUGAUAUAUCAAUAAAAUUAUAUCUAAUUUUCAGUUUUAUGCAUAAUUUAUAUAGUUUCAAACUUUACUUCUUUUACUUAAAGAUCAUUCGGGAUUACUGUCUAAGAGGUUUAUAGAGGGAUGCAAAAUUACCUUAUCUUACAAAUAACUUUAAAAAACAUAAAAAGAGUUUUAUUCUUAAUAAAAUUUUACAUAUAUCGUAUUACAUAAGCUCAAAACUAUCAUGAUUCGAUUUAGAAACAAAAUCAAUUAAAUACAUAAGGUAGUCAUUAUUAUCAUUAUAUUAAUUUAUUUAUUUUACUUUCUAUUGAGAAGCUUUAUAUUCUUAUUACAUAAUUUAUGUUUUAUUUUAUAUUUAAUGUUGAUUUAUAAGUUUUAUAUUACAUUUAUAUGUUUUAUCUAGAUAAUUAAUAUUAAUUAUAAUAUGCACAAAUAUGUUUCACUGAUUCUGCUGUACGGCCAAGGCGGAUGUACGGUACAGCAGUCUUUCAACUGACAGUAUUAGUUAUUGAUCAGGCUAUGCAGUUUAAGUUGAAAUUCCUAGGCCAACCCACAUUUUACAAAGACCAUCAUCCCCUAUACAAAAUGAUUUAAUCAAGAAGAUAGUACCAUAUUACCCAUCCUCACAAUUCAAAUUACUAGUAAUUUUUCGCAUACCUAUCAACUUGACUAUCUUAUCAAUUGAAGGUAUGUGCUUGAGUCCAAAUUGAUAGCAAUGUAAUCAGCAAGACAAGAGAAGUGUAAUAAGUAGCUUGGAGAUAAGCAAAUUUAAACCCAAGCAUGCAGCCCAUAAUCUUGAAUGAAUCUUAUUGUUUGCAUGGUAUUUUACGCUCACUGGAUUUCACUUGAUUUAUUCUAAAUUUUUAGGAACAAAUUAAUAUAAUGGCUUCCACAAGCUUUCAAAAUGUCUCUCAUGAGGAAUACGAUGCCUUCUUAAGCUUUAGAGGAGAAGACACUCGUAAAAGGUUCAUAGGUCAUCUCUAUACUGCUUUGAACAAUAAAGGAAUUUAUGUAUUCAGGGAUGACAAACAACUUGAGAAAGGAGGAUCCAUUUCACCAAAUCUCCUUAAAGCAAUUGAAGAAUCGAGAAUUUCAAUUAUUGUUCUCUCAAAAAAUUACGCUUCUUCCACUUGGUGCUUGGAUGAACUUCUUAAGAUUGUUGAAUGCAAAAAUAGAGAGGAUCAAAUUUUUCCAAUUUUUUAUGAAGUGGAACCAACUGUUGUAAGAAAACAAACAGCAAGUUUCGGAGAAGCUUUUGCUAAACAUGAAGAAUUUUUCAGGGAUAAUAUAGAAAAAGUGCAAAAGUGGAGACACGCUUUAAAGGUGGUGGCCAAUAUAUCAGGCUGGGAAUUGAAGGAUAGGUAGUCAUUCUUUUUCUCAACUAUUAAUUUUGUUUGUCUUGCAAGAUUAGUAACUACAAAACAGAUUUUAAUAUUCAUUCAACACUGUUUUCAAUUAAACAACUUCUAUUUAAUACAUAUGCAUAUUGUAUGAUGUGUAGUAAAAGGGUUCCUCCCGUGAAUUGAAUAUAUUUAAAUUAUACCUUCACUUUUGAAAACUUCAAUUUACCUCCCAUUUUUGUUAAGAAUACAAAAACAUUGCAUCAACUCACCCCAUUUUUCCUUCUCUUUUGAAAAAAAAUAGGGUAAUUGAGGUGUUCAAAAGGGAGUGAUUUGAAGAUAUUCAAAUCACGAGGAGAAUAAUCUACUGCUGUACGGCCAAGGCGGAUGUACGGUACAGCAGAUUUUUUUUCAAUUUUGAGUUAAUCAUAUUAAAAUAAAAACCAAGCUUAGGCAUCUCAAUAUAAUGAUUUAUAAUUUUAGACCAAAUUUAUUUACUGGAUUAAUCUAUCCCCGUCCUUGCUUGCAAACUGCUCUGUUUUGUGUCAUUUUCUAUUUAUUUUAAUAUAACAAUGGCAAUAAUCGCAAUACGAAUGAUAUCAAUAUCAUUACAUAUUUAGUUAAUCUAAUUGAUUUAAAUUGUCUUUUAAACUAACUCAUCCUGUUGUCGAAAGAAAUAAUAUAUAAAUUUUGAAAUUACCAAUCACAAUGCAACCCAGUCCAAUCCAAUUUUUAUUGGGUUGGGUUUGAAUUUCUCAUUCCAAUUGUUGUUGACUGAUGUAAUAAUAUCAUAUUAUUUAAUUAUAUGACUGCAAUUUGAUGAAAUGAAUAUUGCAUAGUUUGGAUUUUAUUCAUAAUAUGGAAUUGAUUUGUUACUACGUUCAUACUAACUUUGAUUUAACAAUACCAAUCUUUUCUUGUUGUUUUCAAUAUGCAGGAAUGAGUCAGAAUUUAUUGAGGAAAUUGUCAAUGUCAUAUCUAGUAAAAUUCGUUCAGAACCAGAGAUUCUUAAGGAGCUAGUAGGAAUGGAAUCACGCUUGGAGAAACUGAGGUUUCUUAUGGGUACGGGGUCUAAUGAUGUUCGUAUGAUCGGGAUAUGGGGUAUGGGAGGUCUAGGAAAGACAACUCUUGCAAGGGUUGUUUAUGACUUGAUGUCUCAUGAGUUUGAUGGGAGUAGUUUUAUUGCCGAUGUUAGAGAAAAAUUUGAAAAAGAAGGCAGUGAAAUCUCUUUACAAAAGCAGCUCCUUUCUGAUUUACUGAAGCUUUCAGAUUAUAGCAUACAGAAUGUCUACGAUGGUAUUAACAUAAUUGGAAGCAGGCUGCAACGGAAAAAAGUUCUUCUCAUAAUUGAUGAUGUGGCUGAUGUUGAACAAUUACAAAGGUUAGUUGGAAGGCGUGAUUGGUUCGGUCCAGGCAGCAAGAUUCUAAUAACAACGAGAGAUAGACAAUUGUUGGUGGCACAUGAAGUGGAUGAAGAGCAUAUUCUUGACCUUGAUGUACUAAAUAACGAUGAAGCUCUUCAACUCUUUAGUAUGAAAGCUUUUAAAAGCCAUCAGCCUAUGGGAGAAUAUGUGGAGCUGUCUAAACGUGUUCUGGAGUAUGCUGGUGGUCUUCCAUUAGCUCUAAAAGUUUUGGGAUCCUUUCUAAUUGGUAGAUCUGCAGAUCUAUGGAGAAGUGCCCUAGAAAGACUAAAAAAAGAUCCUUCAAAUAAGAUUAUGAGUAUACUUCAAAUAAGUUUUGAAGGACUACAAGAUUCAGAGAAGAAAAUAUUUCUCGAUGUUGCAUGUUUCU
rnacentral:lncRNA from 1 species